UACGUAGGGGGCUAGCGUUGUCCGGAAUCAUUGGGCGUAAAGAGCGCGUAGGCGGCCAGAUAAGUCCGGUGUGAAAGUCACAGGCUCAACCUGUGAAUGCCGCUGGAAACUGUCUGGCUAGAGUCCGGUAGGGGCGAGUGGAAUUCCUGGUGUAGCGGUGAAAUGCGCAGAUAUCAGGAGGAACACCAAUGGCGAAGGCAGCUCGCUGGAACGGUACUGACGCUGAGGCACGAAGGCCAGGGGAGCAAACGGG
rnacentral:rRNA from 1 species